ACGAUGUUCCGCUGUUUCAUAGAAAACACGAGCAUUAG
rfam:Halobacillus sp. BAB-2008 contig60, whole genome shotgun sequence.